AACGAACGCUGGCGGCGUGGAUAAGACAUGCAAGUCGAACGAUCACUAUUGGGUAGCAAUAUUCGGUAGUGGGAGUGGCGCAAGGGUGCGUAACACGUGGGUAAUUUGCCGUAAAGUCUGGGAUAACUUGCUGAAAGGCGAGCUAAUACCGGAUGUGAUUGCUGGAGGGCAUCCUCUGGCACUUAAAGUCGGGGACCGUAAGGCCUGACACUUUUCGAUAAGCCCGCGGCCUAUCAGCUAGUUGGUGAGGUAACGGCUCACCAAGGCUAAGACGGGUAGCUGGUCUGAGAGGACGACCAGCCUCACUGGAACUGAGACACGGUCCAGACACCUACGGGUGGCUG
rnacentral:rRNA from 1 species